GGAGAGAUGGCCGAGUUGGUCGAAGGCGCACGCCUGGAAAGUGUGUAGGCGGCGUGAAACCGUCUCGUGGGUUCGAAUCCCACUCUCUCCGCCA
rnacentral:tRNA from 2 species